UGACAUAUGUUCAACGGCCGCGGUACCCUGACCGUGCAAAGGUAGCAUAAUCAUUUGUUCCCUAAAUAGGGACUUGCAUGAAUGGCCACACGAGGGUUUAACUGUCUCUUACUUCCAAUCAGUGAAAUUGACCUAUCCGUGAAGAGGCGGAUAUAAACUAAUAAGACGAGAAGACCCUAUGGAGCUUUAAUUUAAUAAUACAAAUACUUAUCUACAAACCCACAGGCAAUAAUAUUGCUACCCAUGUAUUAUAAAUUUUGGUUGGGGUGACCUCGGAGCACAACAAAACCUCCGAAAAAUAAAUACUAAGACCUUACUAGUCUAAGUAAAUAUACACUUUUGACCCAAUAACUUGAUCAACGGACCAAGUUACCCUAGGGAUAACAGCGCAAUCCUAUUCUAGAGUCCAUAUCAACAAUAGGGUUUACGACCUCGAUGUUGGAUCAAGACAUCCUAAUGGUGCAGCCGCUAUUAAGGGU
rnacentral:rRNA from 1 species